rnacentral:rRNA from 1 species
ACUCAAAUGAAUUGACGGGGACCCGCACAACCGGUGGAGCGUGUGGUUCAAUUCGAGACAAAACGAAGAACCUCACCAGGGUUUGACAUAUUACCGUUUAUCCCGUUGGAAACAGUGGGAAAUCCGUAAGGAUGGUAUUACAGGUGCUGCAUGGCUGUCGUCAGUUCGUGCCGUGAGGUGUUCCCUUAAGUGGGGAAACGAACGCAACCCCCGUGUAAUGUUAAAUAUUCAUUGCAGACGGUCCCGAUUAUAUCGGGAAGGAAGGAGGGGUAGAUGUCAAGUCAGCAUGGCCCUUACACCCUGGGCUACACACACACUACAAUGGCGAAGAACAAUGGGUUGCAAGCGCGCAAGUGCAAGCUAAUCCCUGAAAUUUCGCCCCAGUUCAGAUUGGGGUCUGAAACCCGACCCCAUGAAGUCGGAAUCGGUAGUAAUCGCGGAUCAGCAUGCCGCGGUGAAUACGUUCUCGGGUCUUGUACACACCGCCCGU